ACAGUCUUUACUUUAUUUACUUCUAUCUCGAGGCUCUCUACUUUAGCCUAAAAGAGUUCGACCUUUAAAAAAUCGCAUAUAUAUUGACAAUUCUAAGGGCAUAAAAUAAUCGUUUUUUGAAACAAAACAAAGGCAAAAAGUGGCAGUUUAUUUAGUUAAUGAUAGGAAUACAUCGCUUCUUACUGAACAGACACUGAAAAGUUAAUGACAGGAAUACACCGCUUCUUACUGAAAAGUUAAUGACAGGAAUACACCGCUUCUUACUGAAAAGUUAAUGAUAGGAAUACACCGCUUCUUACUGCUUCUUACUGAAAAGUUAAUGAUAGGAAUACACCGCUUCUUACUGAAAAGUUAAUGAUAGAAAUACACCGCUUCUUACUUACUGAACAAACAGUAAAAAGUAAAAUAAAAAAAUACCGAAUUCCGAGGAAAAUUCAAAACGAAAAGUCCCUAAUCAAAUGACAAAAACGAAAGCUCAAAUACAUCAAACGAAUAAAUACACCUGUCAUAUUCCUGACUUGGUACAAGCUUUUUCUGAUGUUGAAUAUGGUGCAUUUAACCUGGUUUUAUAGUUGGCUAAACCUCUCGCUUGUAUGUCAGUCGCAUAAAAUUCCUUUUUAUUGUCAACGAUAUGAGAAAAAAAUAAACAGACAUGUUAGGUAAAAAUGUCAAAAAUAGGGGUACAGCAGUCAACGUUCUGUUUUUAUUUUAAUCAUUAAUAAACAAACAAAUAUGUAAAAAAUAAUCACAAAAAGGCAUAUAGACAAAAAACACA
rnacentral:lncRNA from 1 species